UACGGGGGGGGCAAGCGUUGUUCGGAAUUACUGGGCGUAAAGGGCUCGUAGGCGGCCAACUAAGUCAGACGUGAAAUCCCUCGGCUUAACCGGGGAACUGCGUCUGAUACUGGUUGGCUUGAGUUUGGGAGAGGGAUGCGGAAUUCCAGGUGUAGCGGUGAAAUGCGUAGAUAUCAGGAGGAACACCUGUGGUGUAGACAGCUUACUGGACCACUUCUGACGCUGAGACACGAAAGCGUGGGUAGCAAACAGG
rnacentral:rRNA from 1 species